rnacentral:rRNA from 1 species
UGGGGAAUUUUGGACAAUGGGCGAAAGCCUGAUCCAGCAAUGCCGCGUGUGUGAAGAAGGCCUUCGGGUUGUAAAGCACUUUUGUCCGGAAAGAAAUGGCUCUGGUUAAUACCUGGGGUCGAUGACGGUACCGGAAGAAUAAGGACCGGCUAACUACGUGCCAGCAGCCGCGGUAAUACGUAGGGUCCAAGCGUUAAUCGGAAUUACUGGGCGUAAAGCGUGCGCAGGCGGUUGUGCAAGACCGAUGUGAAAUCCCCGAGCUUAACUUGGGAAUUGCAUUGGUGAAUGCACGGCUAGAGUGUGUCAGAGGGGGGUAGUAUUCCACGUGUAGCAGUGAAAUGCGUAGAGAUGUGGAGGAAUACCGAUGGCGAAGGCAGCCCCAUGGGCUAACACUGACGCUCAUGCACGAAAGCGUGGGGAGCAAACAGG